rnacentral:rRNA from 1 species
AACGAACGCUGGCGGCAGGCCUAACACAUGCAAGUCGAGCGAGGACUUCGGUCCUAGCGGCGGACGGGUGAGUAACGCGUGGGAACGUGCCCUUUGCUUCGGAAUAGCCCUGGGAAACUGGGAGUAAUACCGGAUGAGCCCUUUGGGGGAAAGAUUUAUCGGCGAAGGAUCGGCCCGCGUUGGAUUAGGUAGUUGGUGGGGUAAUGGCCUACCAAGCCGACGAUCCAUAGCUGGUAUGAGAGGAUGAUCAGCCACACUUGGACUGAGACACGGACCAGACUCCUACGCGAGGCAGCAGAGGGGAGUCUUAGACAAGGAGGGAAGCCCUAAUCAAGCCAUGCCGGGUGAGAGGUGAAGGCCUUAGGGUUGUAAAGCUCUUUCAGCUGAGAAGAUAAUGACGGUACCAGCAGAAGAAGCCCCGGCUAACUCCGUG